UUUCUUCUUGAUAAGCAUUUCCGAGACAUCUGAACAAAUUGGAAUUAUUUGGAGAAGAUUUCUAAAAUCUGCACGGGUCCAAAUGCAUGGUUAACCAUCUUUUUUUGCAGCUUCUGCCAAAAUAUCAAUAAUGCUUGCUGUUUGUGGUACAUCCAAAUUCACCCUAACAUGAUAAUUCUUGUUGGCAACAUGUAUGAAUAAGUUCCAAAUUCACAUAUUUAGUAGUUAUUCUGUGUGACCAGUGAGUCACAUUUGCUUGUAGUUGGACUUGGAGAAAGGAAUGAUGGACUACUUAUAUGCAAAAUGCACCCCUUGUAUCAUGGACUGUGUCAGGGCAGAGCUUGAAAAAUUAGGUCAGAAGUACCGGGUUGCUUUGAGGAUUGCCAAAGAUCCUCAGUUCGAAAGGCUACCUUGCACUCAUAAAGGAACCUAUGCAGAUGAUUGUAUUGUUGAGAGGGUUACUCAGGUAUGAUAAGACAUUUGGCUAUCGCCGCAUAUUUUAUUUGCAUGAUUAGAAUUUGAAUCUGGCAGUGCAUUCCUUUAGAAAAUUGGACUCCC